GCCUGUGUAGCUCAGUUGGAUGAGCAUCUGACUUCAGCUCAGGUCAUGAUCUCACAGUUGAUGGGUUCAAGCCCUGCAUCAGGCA
rnacentral:tRNA from 1 species